rnacentral:rRNA from 1 species
CUACGGGAGGCAGCAGUGGGGAAUAUUGGACAAUGGGCGAAAGCCUGAUCCAGCCAUGCCGCGUGAGUGAUGAAGGCCCUAGGGUUGUAAAGCUCUUUCACCGGUGAAGAUAAUGACGGUAACCGGAGAAGAAGCCCCGGCUAACUUCGUGCCAGCAGCCGCGGUAAUACGAAGGGGGCUAGCGUUGCUCGGAAUCACUGGGCGUAAAGCGCACGUAGGCGGACUUUUAAGUCGGGGGUGAAAUCCCGGGGCUCAACCCCGGAACUGCCUUCGAUACUGGGAGUCUUGAGUCCGGAAGAGGUAAGUGGAACUGCGAGUGUAGAGGUGAAAUUCGUAGAUAUUCGCAAGAACACCAGUGGCGAAGGCGGCUUACUGGUCCGGAACUGACGCUGAGGUGCGAAAGCGUGGGGAGCAAACAGGAUUAGAAACCCGGGUAGUCC